CCAGAUGUAAAGAUGAAUAUUUAUAGAAUUUCAAUAUUCCACCAAUCCGAGGUCUUUUAGCUGCAAAGCUAAAAGUGUUUCUCAGUGCAUGGCACUCCUACAUCUUUCUCACUGCACAAAUAAAUAUAAAGUUUCAUAUUGUUUUAAAUGUAAGCUCCUAAUGUGUGAGUGUGCAUGGUUUGUUGCUUAAAGAAACAUUGCUGCACUUCUGCGUUUGACAAUAAAUGGACUCGAUUCUUACACCAGGGCAGAUUAAUCCAAAUCCCUUAAUGUGAUUAAUCUGAUUUAAAAAAUGUCCCCAUUGGGCUUGAGGUUUGGUUAGGAGCAAGUGUCAUGUUGGCAUGUGUUGAGGUGAGGUGCGAUUCCAGUUGCUUGAGGCAGACAUGGAUAAACACCUUUUUUCCUGGACAUAGCAUGUGUAACAGAGGUAAUUUAUGAUCUCAAUUGCUUACUGUCUUACUACUCCUCUUAAUUUAAUGUCAUUUUAUUUUAAUGUCAUCUUAUCUAAUUUAUUACAUUUGCACAUUAUGUAAUGUGAUUCUCUAUUUUGCAAAUUUUAUUAUUCUAAGUUUAGUACUGUAAUUUCCUAUAUUUUUUUAUGGUCACUGAACAUCACAUGUCCCAGCAGACUUCCGGGCUGUAGCCCGUAUGUGUCGUCAGUCUGCUCUCUUCCAUGUGACGGUAGGCUGCCCCGUGUAUUAGCUUGAUAACUUUCAGCUAACUUAUUAGCAGGCUAGCUGUGUUGCUGUAGGCAUAAAGGAGACACAUUUAUGUUAAGUUUUGUUUUGUUUUAUUUCUGUGCAGGUUUAGAGUGUAUAGAGAAGGCUGAUUGGAGACUCACUAUGAUUGUUUUCACCAGGUAUUGUGUGUUUUUUUAUCGUGUGUUAAUGUGUUAGUCAGUCUGCUCUCUUCCAUGUGACGGUUUAGAGUGUAUAGAGAAGGCUGAUUGGAGACUCACUAUGAUUGUUUUCACCAGGUAUUGUGUGUUUUUUUAUCGUGUGUUAAUGUGUUAGUCAGUCUGCUCUCUUCCAUGUGACGGUUUAGAGUGUAUAGAGAAGGCUGAUUGGAGACUCACUAUGAUUGUUUUCACCAGAAUAAACCAUGUUUGAGCUGGAAGAAA